rnacentral:rRNA from 1 species
AGAGUUUGAUCCUGGCUCAGAUUGAACGCUGGCGGCAUGCCUUACACAUGCAAGUCGAACGGUAACAGGUCUUCGGAUGCUGACGAGUGGCGAACGGGUGAGUAAUACAUCGGAACGUGCCCGAGAGUGGGGGAUAACGAGGCGAAAGCUUUGCUAAUACCGCAUACGAUCUCAGGAUGAAAGCAGGGGACCGCAAGGCCUUGCGCUCACGGAGCGGCCGAUGGCAGAUUAGGUAGUUGGUGGGAUAAAAGCUUACCAAGCCGACGAUCUGUAGCUGGUCUGAGAGGACGACCAGCCACACUGGGACUGAGACACGGCCCAGACUCCUACGGGAGGCAGCAGUGGGGAAUUUUGGACA